GACAGAGGCCUCAAGCGUUAGGCGGAAUCACUGGGCUUAAAGCGUGCGCAGGCGGCUUUGCAAGACAGAUGUGAAAUCCCCGGGCUCAACCUGGGAACUGCAUUUGUGACUGCAUGGGCUGGAGUGCGGCAGAGGGGGAUGGAAUUCCGCGUGUAGCAGUGAAAUGCGUAGAUAUGCGGAGGAACACCGAUGGCGAAGGCAAUCCCCUGGGCCUGCACUGACGCUCAUGCACGAAAGCGUGGGGAGCAAACAGG
rnacentral:rRNA from 1 species